UACCAGCACCCCGAGUGGUCGGGACGUUUAUUGGGCCUAAAGCAUCCGUAGCCGGUUCUACGAGUCUUCCGUUAAAUCCAACUGCUUAACAGGUGGGCUGCGGAAGAUACUAUAGAGCUAGGAGGCGGGAGAGGCAAGCGGUACUCGAUGGGUAGGGGUAAAAUCCGUUGAUCCAUUGAAGACCACCAGUGGCGAAGGCGGCUUGCCAGAACGCGCUCGACGGUGAGGGAUGAAAGCUGGGGGAGCAAGCCGG
rnacentral:rRNA from 1 species